rnacentral:rRNA from 1 species
UACGGAGGGUGCGAGCGUUGUUCGGAAUCACUGGGCGUAAAGCGCGUGUAGGCGGUCUGCUAAGUCUGAUGUGAAAGCCCGGGGCUCACCCCCGGAAGUGCAUUGGAAACUGACAGACUGGAGUCCCGGAGAGGAGGGUGGAAUUCCUGGUGUAGCGGUGAAAUGCGUAGAUAUCUGGAGGAACACCGGUGGCGAAGGCGGCAUCCUGGACCGACACUGACACUGAGGAGCGAAAGCCAGGGGAGCAAACGGG